CGUCCACCGAACGGUCGGCAGGCGAUCCGCGUCGGUCGCGCUGGGUGGUAUGGUUCCCCAGAGGCCGGUUCUUGUGCUGCCUACCCCUUCAGGGGAAGCGUGCCGCUUGAUGCAAGCCUCCAUCCGGCGCCCCCCAACGGGCGCAGGAGGACAACGGAGCACCCCCCGCGUUCCACCGAGCCUCCGUCGGUCGCUUGGCGCGCGGGGAAGUGCGAUGCUCUCGGACCCAGCGAACGCCGUGGGCGAGGACUCACGUCCCAGUCCCGAUGGAAGCUCCCANAUAACGCNGACGGCCGCUCCCGUCCCCCGACCGCCCCGGCGGCGCGGGGGCGAGGCGCGGCGUCGCGGAGGAAUGCUACCU
rnacentral:misc_RNA from 1 species